CUAUUUUGUUUUACUUCCAUGUAUUUUACAUCGGGAUCAAAGUUUGUUUAAUUUUAUUAUAUAUAGUUCGAAGAAAAAAAAGCUGCAUGGACUGGUGAAGUCUUAUAUCUUUCAUACCAACACAAUGUGUGCAGAUGUUAACCAUGCUUAAAACUGAGAUAGAAAAGUGUUUGCAUAUAGUUUUAAUUUGUAGACAUUGUCAGAAUUGAUACCCGAGAUCGAAAGGACUAACACCACAGUCUCAGAUGGAAAAACGUGAAAAUGAAGUGAAGGUAGAAAAUAAUUUAGAACGAGGUGAAACAAUCUGGUGCAAUGGCCAUACCGCUGUACGUAGAAAUUUCAAAUUCAAAUGUAUUCGAUAAGAUGUUAGUAUGCAUAAAUCAGUAAAAUUCGUGUUGAGGUUUUAUUUGAUAUGAUACAAUGUCAAUAUACUGUAAUGCAUUAGUAGGAUAUGCAGAAGGCAAGAAUAUAAACAUUUUCUUUUUUCAUUUUCAGUAUCAAUAUCUAUAUGAUCACGAAAAAACAUAUAAUUUAUAUCCGGAUUCAUUUAUACCGAUUUAGAUAUCAAUAAAAACAAAGCUGCAUAGUUUGGGAGAGGGGUUUCUAACGAGUCUGAUGAAAUUAAAAGAAGGAACCCAACAUUUGCAUUCAAACUAGAUGUACUUCAAAAUGAAUUCAUUUCUGCUCUGACUGAAAGCAUGAUUCUAAAUUCGGGAACGAAUCUUGCAUACAAAAUAAUUAAUAGGGGAACACAUAAAUUCGAGCUCCUUUGGAAUUUAAUGAAAUGUAGAUAUGCACCUUUCUUUCAACACGAAUUGAUAUGUUGUUUCAGGCACGAAAACAGGGGGUUGGGGUGGGCAGGAAGGCUGGUCUGCUUUCCCCACUUUUUUUUGACAAUUUACUUUUUUCCCGUUAUUCUAACAUACAAAGUCAGUAUUUUCUACAUGCACAGUUCAAACUAUUUUUUUAAAAUUUGUAAUGAAUUCAAUUAUAAGCAUCAACUUCUGUAAGUUUCCAAUAUAUUGUCAAUCACAAAUUUUUAAAUACAUGUAGCUGGAAAUUUUUAAUGCUUGUAAGCUUACAUUUAUAUAAGUGAUCAAUUUUCUUUCCUUCUGUGAAAUGAUAUAUUUUAAAUCAAAGUAGGACGGUCUCUCUCUCUCUCUCUCUCUCUCUCUCUCUCUCUCUCUCAAUGAAUAUGGACAUAAGAGACCGUAAAUAAUUAUGUGGUUCCAAAAGAGAAAACAAAACUAUAUUUUCGUUUAUAAAUUUCCUUUCAUAUGUGUCUUUGUGUAAUGAACUGUUUAUUAUGGAUUGUAAAUGUAAUACACGCAUUUGCACACAGAUGUGUAUUUUCGAUCAUUAUUCCCUUAUUUGUAUAUCCAAGUUUGUAUAUGAUCAUCAAGAAAAUUUGAAUUGUGCACGCAAUAUAUCCAACCAGAUAUUAGGUUUCCGAUUUCUACAAACUGCAAAACCUCGACCAGACAAGCAUUCAAAACAGGAAAAUUUUUCGACUCUGACACCUCCCCUGAUUGAAGACAACCUGUUUGGCACGGGUGAAGUGUAUCGCAGUCUGUAUAAUGGAAUGAGAACGUGUUGUAAAGUUCUAACGAGAUACAAAUGGAGUUUAUCAUUUUGUUUCGUGGAUUUAUCAGAAUAAAGAGAAUCUAAUAUUUUCGGUAAGUGCACAUCUCCGAUACCUGUUGAAUAGACGCCCGUAUUUGAUACUUUUUUUGGCGAUUAUACCUUGUGCUUUGCAUAUUAUGCAUAUGGCAUGCAUCUUUAUUUUGCAAGAAUUGAUAAAAAUAAUAUAUUUUAUGCUCUUUGUCUAUUCCAUUCUAUCAGUAUGUAAUUGGCAAAUGAGUUAUCCGCAUUUAUUUUAUUAGAAAAUGCAAAUACUUGCAUGCACUUGCAAGUAUGCAAGAAAAGCUUUUUCUUUUUGCAUUUUUGUCUAACUUAUCUAAACUUCCAGAAUGUUGCAUUAGUAUACAAUCAAUAUUUUGUAAUUUUGAGCAAAGCAUAAUGUUUUAAAAUGUUAUUUUAUUUGUUUCUCAUUUCCUUUUUUUACUAUCGGAGAUGUGCACUGGUCGAGUCCACCUAGAAAAAUCACUCAGGUGUGACAAUCACAUUUGGAGUAUAUACGGGUAGAGUAAAUUAGGCUACCUGAGAGAAAUAUGGCGGAUAAGAUGAGAAAGGUGUACGUAUUUAUUAAUUCAUGUCAACUUUAAAUACGUCUGUACACAAACACUCCCAUCCCUAUUCCGCAACCCUAAAUCUUGGCAAAAUUUCGCUAUACUUAAUGUAAUGUUCCAGGUCAGGGGCGGAUCCAGAGGGAGUUCCGGGGGUCGAACCCCCCUCCCGCCCCUUUCGUUUGAUGAUUUUCCUGUAAAAAGUAAAAAAAUAACGCAUUCUGAUGGUGAACUCCCCCAAAAUUCCUGGAUCCGCCCUGCAGUAUUACAUGUUAUCUUGUGCAACCCUUGUAUGUUCAGCUUGAUGGCGUGGCGUCUAUACCACACACCGUCUUUCAAACACUUAUUGAUUUUCUGUCUUCUAAUUAUAGAAUACUUCGAUUUGCAAAAUGUAUGGCGCAAAGGUCUUGACAUUUAAGUUUUACAUAUCAUAAAAUGAAUUAUUUUUUCGUGGUCCUAAAAAGUAUAAUGUAUAAAGUCUUGUCCAAAAAAAAAAGAUAAAUAAAAGACGUCAUUCUUUAUUAGAACACUUCCGCGGUAACAGACACCUGUCCCACAGAAACGGAUACGACUUCUCCAAACUUAUAUCAUAGAAUAGGCCGGCCCAUAAAAAAAAUCAUCCGUAAACAUGAAAGAAUAGUGUAAGUAAAUAUUUUAUAACAAAGAAAGUAAAUAUCUCGCUCUUUUAGGUUGAAAAAACAUGGUGAAUAUUUUGAAAAUGAUAUGGGUCUAUACACCGAUCAACAGAAGUUCGUGACCUUAUAUUCUGACCAAUGAAAUAAGCUGAAAAAAUAAGCUCCGCCCACCACCACUAGUCUCGGACAAACAUCGGACAUGCACCAAUGUUUUGUAUAGUAAACACAGUAAUGCAUCAACUGAUCAUGCGUUAAUAAUACAGUGUGUACGUAUCUUUUUAUAUGAGGAAUGAUUAUACAUUUUUCUCUGAAAUCUGUAAAUCAGACGGUAGGUAUCCAGACAAACUUAAUGGAGCCAAAUUCACACAAUUUCCAUCAACAAAAACGCAAGCUUGCAGAAGUGUAUUCUAUGGAUUGCCUUAUGUCACAGGGCUCAAAAUCAGCUAGAUGUACACAAAAUAACGAAGAUACGUAUCUAUGAACUCGGUAAGUUGAUUUGUUCUGUAUUGUUAUACGCAGACCUUUACAAUCUAGGCACAUAGCAUCGUUUUUCAAGGGGGGGGGGGUGAUAAAUACAAAAUCUUCAAUUUUCAUACACUCUGAUUUACAACUGUCACAGAAGGGGAGAGUCAGAAGAAGUGUAUAUUAGUAAUAAUUAUAUCAUAGUUGAAAAAAAGAAGGAAAGAAAACCUGUCAUUGUAACCUAGGGGAAAAGGAGUCGAUAAGCUGUCGCACUACAUUGCACUUAGCACUACAUGCAUGCAUGUUUGCAAAGUUUUAAAGUACAUACAACUAACAAUCCAGAUUUUGCAGAUCGUACUGUGCUUGUUAGGACUCCAUGAAUUACAUGCGAUCGACAUUGACAAUGAAUGCAUAAAUUUGACGUAUAAAUGUAUUGAACUUUAGUACUUAAGGAGAGAACAGAUAAUAGGUCCUGCGCCUGCUGUUCAAUCCUCUUCCUGUAAUUUAUUUUGCAUGAAUAAAAUAUUUAUUGCCUAUAAACUUUAGUAGCAAAUGUUUCAACAAAAUCAAAACGAUGACACAACAGGGAUCUGCUGAAAAGUAAUUUUGUUUUGUUUUCUUAGCAAUAUGAUGGGUCAAUGGCUGAAUACCAAGCCUCUUCUGACAUUGAACAUGGAAGAAAUGCAGCUAUCAGGAUACAUAUGGAGAUUGGAUAGAAUAAUAAAUCAAAUCAAGUGCCUAAAACCUCUCGUAGAAAAAUUCCUACGCCUCGGUUGACAAUGGUUUUUUUCUCGGAGUGAAUAUUUUCAAUUUAACCCUCAACUACAUGCAAUAUUUAUAUAAUGUAAGUUGUGUGUAGCUACUUCGAAUUCUUCUAAGGUUUUAUUCAUUAGUGAAAUAAGCAUAUUAUUCAACCAUGUUUAUGUUGUGUUGAAAGUUCAGCUCAUGGUUGUUUUAAACAACAGUAUACAAAAUUUUGUUAUUCUAACUAUACAUGUGGAGAAAGUUCUGCAGUUUUAAUCACUCCAUUAAAAUUAUCCAGGUAUUUUGAAUAUGCUAUUUUCUCAUGUCAAAUUCAACCAUUUUCGAAAUAUUGUUGUCAUAUAAGAGAGUGGAGUUGCAUUGUAUGUGAUUGUCUAUUGAAUAUUGAUAAGAGGUAAUGGAAACUUUUGUUUAAUUGCAUCAUCAGAAGUUAAAGAGCAAACAGUAAAUGAUAGUGAUACCAAGUUAUGGACUAAUGAUACAUACUUUAAAAAUAUUGAAUCUUAAUUUUAUCAACAUGUUUUAUUAGAAAUUUUGAGAGAAAACAGAAAACCACAAUUCACACCGUAAGAAACAUUUAAACUGUUCAAAAUUAUAUUCAAUUUUUUUAAUUAUUGAAUUUCAAAGACCAUAUUUAUUGAAGGUACUUCAAAAAGCUUCCUAUUCUUAUUUAUAAUCAGUUUGUAUGAAGAAACUAAUACGGACAUGCUAUUUCAAGGAUAAAUCCUUCUAAUGGAUUGUUGUAAACCAUUAUGCUAUUGCAGCAAAUACUAAUAUAUUUUUUGUGAGUAAAUGUUGUUUAUUGGUUAGGAAUUUAUAGGCAUGUAAAUAUAUCAGUAUCCAUACUACAAGAACUCACGAAUAUAAAAAAAGAAAGCAUCACAAAAAUCUGGCUAUAUAUCAUUAUACAAAAAUCUAUUUUUGCAGCAAAUAUAAGAGUGGCAGUAGUAAAUCAAGUUUAAACAUGCAUAUUGGAAAAAUAAUCAAGGUUUACAUCAGAAAUUUUAUAUGAAUGGAAAAUUUCGUACCACCUUUCAUUUCAAAACCUUUGAUAGUUGUGAUCAUUAUAUUUAUUAAAAUAAACAGAAUUGCUAAUGAAUGA